AGAGUUUGAUCAUGGCUCAGAACGUACGCUGGCGGCACGCCUUAUACAUGCAAGUCGAACGAAGUAGUAAUACUUAGUGGCAGACGGGUGAGUAACAUGUAGGUAUCUUCCCUUUGGUGAGGAAUAACACGAGGAAACUUGUGCUAAUACCUCAUAAGUCUUUACAGAGAAAGCUUUAUGCGCCGAAGGAUGAGCCUGCAUUUGAUUAGUUUGUUGGUGGGGUAAUGGCUCACCAAGACUUUGAUCAAUAGCUGAUCUGAGAGGAUGAUCAGCCACAUUGGGACUGAGACACGGCCCAAACUCCUACGGGAGGCAGCAGUAGGGAAUAUUGCACAAUGGAGGAAACUCUGAUGCAGCGAUGCCGCGUGAGUGAAGAAGGCCUUUGGGUUGUAAAGCUCUUUCGUCGGGGAAGAAAAUGACUGUACCCGAAUAAGAAGGUCCGGCUAACUUCGUGCCAGCAGCCGCGGUAAUACGAAGGGACCUAGCGUAGUUCGGAAUUACUGGGCUUAAAGAGUUCGUAGGUGGUUAAAAAAGUUGGUGGUGAAAUCCCAGAGCUUAACUCUGGAACUGCCAUCAAAACUUUUUAGCUAGAGUAUGAUAGAGGAAAGCAGAAUUUCUAGUGUAGAGGUGAAAUUCGUAGAUAUUAGAAAGAAUACCAAUUGCGAAGGCAGCUUUCUGGAUCAUUACUGACGCUGAGGAACGAAAGCAUGGGUAGCGAAGAGGAUUAGAUACCCUCGUAGUCCAUGCCGUAAACGAUGUGUGUUAGACGUUGGAAAUUUAUUUUCAGUGUCGCAGCGAAAGCAUUAAACACACCGCCUGGGGAGUACGACCGCAAGGUUAAAACUCAAAUGAAUUGACGGGGACCCGCACAAGUAGUGGAGCAUGUGGUUUAAUUCGAAGAUACGCGCAGAACCUUACCAACACUUGACAUGUUCGUCGCGACUUUAAGAGAUUAAAGUUUUCGGUUCGGCCGGACGAAACACAGGUGCUGCAUGGCUGUCGUCAGCUCGUGUCGUGAGAUGUUGGGUUAAGUCCCGCAACGAGCGCAACCCUCACUUUUAGUUGCCAUCAUUAAG
rnacentral:rRNA from 1 species